CUGAGAUGAGGGGUUCAGGCCAGGUUUCAGAGUCCCACCAGGCCUCCCUCUUGCAACAGAAGGAAAGUCCACACUGAGGAGGAUCAUGGCCUGCUACGGUCGAAGUGCAAGGCACACGUCAGAAGCAGUGGCUCCUUCUGCAGCAGGACUCACCUACUGACUCAGAAGGACGUCCUCCAGGGACAGCCAGCUCCUCCUCUGAGCGCACAGCCCAUGUCCUCUGCUGUGCACUCCUCACGUGAAUGGACCCCACCUCGGACCGGAAGCCACCUUGGGUUGGAGGAUGCCAUGAAGUCUCUCUGGUUCAACGUGCAUGCACCGUCUCACUUAACCUGGGUUACUCUGUAUGAGUUGCACAGAAAAGGCCAACAUGGACAUCUGAGGACAGACAGCACAGGAGUACAGGAACUAAUGCAAAUUGCAUGUGAAUGACAUCCCCACGCAGGCCACUACUGACCACACUUACCCUCCCAUUUCACACACCUGCUUGGGACUAUCCUUCCUGGAGGCCACUGGAACUUCUGGAGUCACCUGCAGCACUUCUGAUGCAUUUCCUAGGUGGUGAUUUCCCAGCCCUGACACUGGUGACAGCUGUGGGUCUUACUCCACCAUAGCCAGAGGAGAAUGUGUCUGCCACUGCAUCAGCGGAAGGAGAGGGAGUUGGGGGUGGUCACCAGCUUCCCAGGCCUCACUUUCCCCACUUAUAAAUGAGGGGCUGGAACUUUUCAGUUUCCUUGGACCUUUUAAUUCAGCCCUCUCAGAUCUGAUGGCCUCGUGGUAGGAAUGCCCUUCCUCUAAGGGAAUUACAGUGAAAAUGACUGACUCCAUCUCAACAUCCACCAGCCCCGUGAAAAUGUGCCCCACCUCCUUCUGCUAAUUUUGGCUUGGGGGCCUCCUGGACCUGCAGCAGAGCUUCCCUUGCUUGGCUGAGCAGUUGUUAAAUGAGCUGCCUUCUAGCCAAGCAUAGCACAUGAGCCCACUGGCCUAUCUAUUAGGAAAGAAGGUCUAAGAGAAAUCAGGGUCUCAAUGCAAAGCCGCA
rnacentral:lncRNA from 1 species